rnacentral:rRNA from 1 species
AGGAAUACAUCGGAAUCUACUCUGUCGUGGGGGAUAACGUAGGGAAACUUACGCUAAUACCGCAUACGACCUACGGGUGAAAGCAGGGGACCUUCGGGCCUUGCGCGAUUGAAUGAGCCGAUGUCGGAUUAGCUAGUUGGCGGGGUAAAGGCCCACCAAGGCGACGAUCCGUAGCUGGUCUGAGAGGAUGAUCAGCCACACUGGAACUGACACACGGUCCACACUCCUACGGGAGGCAGCAGUGGGGAAUAUUGGACAAUGGGCGCAAGCCUGAUCCAGCCAUACCGCGUGGGUGAAGAAGGCCUUCGGGUUGUAAAGCCCUUUUGUUGGGAAAGAAAUCCAGCUGGCUAAUACCCGGUUGGGAUGACGG